rnacentral:rRNA from 1 species
GACGAACGCUGGCGGCGUGCUUAACACAUGCAAGUCGAACGCUGAAGCCCUGGCUUUUGUUGGGUUGGAUGAGGGGCGAACGGGUGAGUAACACGUGUAUAACCUGCCCUCUUCUGUGGGAUAACGCCCGGAAACGGGCGCUUAUACUGGAUAUUCACUGAUCUUCACGUGGGGGUUGGUGGGAAGGUGUGUUCUGGUGGGGGAUGGGCUCGGGGCAUGUAGGCUUGUUGGUGGGGUGUUGGCCUACCAAGGCUUUGACGGAUGGCCGGCCUGGGAGGGUGACCGGUCAGGUUGGGACUGAGAAACGGCCCAGAGUCCUAGGGGAGGCAGCAGUGGGGAAUAUUGCACAGGAGGCGAAAGCCUGAUGCAGCGACGCGGCGUGAGGGAGGGGGGCCUGCGGGUUGUAAACCUCUGUCGCUCAUGGUCAAGCCGCAACUGUGGGUUGUGGUGAGGGUAGUGGGUAAAGAAGCGCCGGCUAACUACGUG